AACGAACGCUGGCGGCAUGCCUAACACAUGCAAGUCGAACGAGACCUUUGGGUCUAGUGGCGCACGGGUGCGUAACGCGUGGGAACCUGCCCUUAGGUUCGGAAUAACUCCCCGAAAGGGGUGCUAAUACCGGAUAAUGUCUUCGGACCAAAGAUUUAUCGCCUUUGGAUGGGCCCGCGUUGGAUUAGCUAGUUGGUAGGGUAAAAGCCUACCAAGGCGACGAUCCAUAGCUGGUCUGAGAGGAUGAUCAGCCACACUGGGACUGAGACACGGCCCAGACUCCUACGGGAGGCAGCAGUGGGGAAUAUUGGACAAUGGGCGAAAGCCAGAUCCAGCAAUGCCGCGUGAGUGAUGAAGGCCUUAGGGUUGUAAAGCUCUUUUACCCGGGAUGAUAAUGACAGUACCGGGAGAAUAAGCUCCGGCUAACUCCGU
rnacentral:rRNA from 1 species